GACAGAGGGUGCAAACGUUGUUCGGAAUUACUGGGCGUAAAGCGUGUGUAGGCGGCCUUAUAAGUCGGAUGUGAAAGCCCAGGGCUCAACCCUGGAAGUGCACUCGAUACUGUAAGGCUCGAGUACUGGAGAGGUUGGUGGAAUUCUCGGUGUAGAGGUGAAAUUCGUAGAUAUCGAGAGGAACACCGGUGGCGAAGGCGGCCAACUGGACAGAUACUGACGCUGAGACACGGAAGCGUGGGGAGCAAACAGG
rnacentral:rRNA from 1 species